GUGGGGAAUAUUGGACAAUGGGGGGAACCCUGAUCCAGCCAUGCCGCGUGUGUGAAGAAGGCCUUUUGGUUGUAAAGCACUUUAAGCGAGGAGGAGGCUACCGAGAUUAAUACUCUUGGAUAGUGGACGUUACUCGCAGAAUAAGCACCGGCUAACUCUGUGCCAGCAGCCGCGGUAAUACAGAGGGUGCAAGCGUUAAUCGGAUUUACUGGGCGUAAAGAGCGCGUAGGUGGCCAAUUAAGUCAAAUGUGAAAUCCCCGAGCUUGACUUGGGAAUUGCAUUCGAUACUGGUUGGCUAGAGUAUGGGAGAGGAUGGUAGAAUUCCAGGUGUAGCGGUGAAAUGCGUAGAGAUCUGGAGGAAUACCGAUGGCGAAGGCAGCCAUCUGGCCUAAUACUGACACUGAGGUGCGAAAGCAUGGGGAGCAAACAGGAUUAGAAACCCGGGUAGUCC
rnacentral:rRNA from 1 species